GCCAGGUUUAGUGGCACACACCUGUAAUCCCAGCAGCUUGGGAGGCUGAGGCAGGAGGAUUGCAAGUUCAAAGCCAGCCCCAGCAAAAGGGAGGCACUAAGCAACUCAGUGAGAACCUGUCUCUA
rnacentral:sRNA from 1 species